rnacentral:rRNA from 1 species
UACGUAGGUGGCAAGCGUUAUCCGGAAUUACUGGGCGUAAAGCGCACGCAGGCGGCUCUUUAAGUUUGACGUGAAAGCUCUCGGCUUAACUGGGAGAGGUCGUUGAAUACUGAGGAGCUUGAGGCAAUGAGAGGGGUGUAGAAUUCCCGGUGUAGUGGUGGAAUGCGUAGAGAUCCGGAAGAACACCGGUGGCGAAGGCGGCCUGCUGGGCAGUAGCUGACGCUGAGGCGCGACAGCGUGGGGAGCAAACAGG